GCCUUAUUUAUUAGAAUCAUACAAGUCAGUAGAGCAUGAGACUCAGAAUCUCAGGGUUGUGGGUUCAAGCUCCACUUUGGGCA